UACGAAGGGGGCUAGCGUUGUUCGGAAUUACUGGGCGUAAAGCGCGCGCAGGCGGUCUUCCAAGUCAGUGGUGAAAGCCCCGGAGCUCAACUCCGGAACUGCCAUUGAAACUGUGAGACUUGAGGAUGAGAGAGGUGAGUGGAAUUCCCAGUGUAGAGGUGAAAUUCGUAGAUAUUGGGAAGAACACCGGUGGCGAAGGCGGCUCACUGGCUCAUUUCUGACGCUCAGGCGCGACAGCGUGGGGAUCAAACAGG
rnacentral:rRNA from 1 species